UGACGGUACCUGCAGAAGAAGCCCCGGCUAACUCCGUGCCAGCAGCCGCGGUAAUACGGAGGGGGCUAGCGUUGUUCGGAAUUACUGGGCGUAAAGCGCGCGUAGGCGGAUUAGUCAGUCAGAGGUGAAAUCCCAGGGCUCAACCCUGGAACUGCCUUUGAUACUGCUAGUCUUGAGUUCGAGAGAGGUGAGUGGAAUUCCGAGUGUAGAGGUGAAAUUCGUAGAUAUUCGGAGGAACACCAGUGGCGAAGGCGGCUCACUGGCUCGAUACUGACGCUGAGGUGCGAAAGUGUGGGGAGCAAACAGGAUUAGAUACCCUGGUAGUCCACGCUGUAAACGAUGAUUACUAGGUGUGGGGGGACUGACCCCUUCCGUGCCGGAGUUAACACAAUAAG
rnacentral:rRNA from 1 species